CAGAUACGGAGCAAUGCCGCGAAGGCAACCUAUCUAUUUACGAAUCGCUGUUCCGGGAUGAUGAACACCGCAAGGCGAAGCCAGGACGGGAAUAUAUAACUCGGCGCGAACGCCUUGGGCGCCACGCAUAGCUUGCCCUCUCACCCCUCUCAGAGCAUUCGCCAAGUUCAAGGAUGCUUUCGAGGUCUAGGUUCGCCCGUGGCGAACACCGGCACACUCUGAUGCAAGGAGGAGGAGGGUCCCCUCCAUCCUACGUCGUGGAUUCGAGACGCGAUGCCAUGCGAAGAUAGAAACUAUACAUGAGUAUACUAAGAAAACUUCCAUUCUUGACUCGUUCAAGUCUACGCUCGAAUGCAACAGCUUGGUAAAUUAUGAAAGAACGUCUUCUAUUUAUGGCUACAGUCACCGUUACGAAGCAUCGAACAUCUGGCGAUAGGGGCGCAGAUAGAGAGAAGAUAAUAACGUGUAGCCUAGUCUGGACCUAUUUCACGGACAUCCCGAGGGUAACCUGGCGCUACGGAGACAGCGAUGAGUAGAUCUUUGCUAACGUUUUCAGCCGCUACCGGUCGCGGUGGAAUCCUCUCUCGAUGGUUUAAUUUUGUGUCGUAUACGCAACCCGUAUGCCAUCCACCUCGCAUCGAAUUUAUCCGUGGUUCGAGCUACAUGUCCCGGCCACAGCAGCUCGAUCUUCUCUGCGGUAAGAGAAUAUUCUCUUUUACGAUCGAGAAAUUGAAAAUGCAUUUGCAUUUCUCUCUUGCGGAUCGGAUAGGCGGAUAAGUCUGAGGUUUGAUAAAUAAAUAAUGUAUGUAUGUAUGUGUA